UGUUUGAUUUUAAACGAUUCUUUGUCACAUUUAUAAUUCGAUUAUUCAUUAUUAUAUUUUAGAACAAAUAUUGAUGAGAUAAAUGUGCUUGUUUUCUUAUUUGCAUAAAGAAUUAAAUCUUGGCUGUAUAUCUGAUACAACAGAGCAAUCUUUUUAAAUAUUUUUUAAAAUUAAUAUUUCAAUUUCACGAUAGACAACGACGAAAACGUUGUUUAGUCAUAGACACGUAGUAGUAUAAGCGCGUUUAAGACAAUUUUAGAAACAGCUGGAAAUUCUGUCCUGAUUCCAAGCAAAAACCAGUUUAAACGAUUUUUUUAAAGAGCUGGUGUUUUAUAAUCAUGUCGAUUAGUAACUCAGUGAAUUCUUCGGGAUCUUUUGAUGACAGGUGAUCGAUAUUUUUUAUUUCACUGCUAUGCGACAAUUGUAAAUAUUUUCACGAUCCAUAGUUCAGGAAGCUCUGCUCUAGACGACGUUUCAGGUCAAAAGUAAAACUGCCAGUUGCGCGGAAUGAAAAUACGCUUCUGCGUCGUGUUACCUAAUUUCCCAAUCACGUGACGGCUACCAGACACUGUUCUUUCGAUUUAUCCCUACCGUGCAACACGUAGUAAUGCUAUUAUAGUACACAAAACGUUCGCCAGGUCAGAAACAUACGUGUAACGCGAUGCGAAAUAGUUGUAUGUUAGAACGCCAUUUAUCUUGAUGUUUAUCGUCCUGAUCUCUCGUAUUUUUAUGUAAAUUCAUAUAACUGUUGAUACAGUGCAAGAAGGGAAAGCCACAAGCUUAAGUUUAAGAGAUUUGUUUCAUUGAUUAAGUAUCAUAACGUGUACUUUACUUUCGAGAUUUUAUAUAUUUUCAUGCAUUACGUGCUUUCGCGCGAAUUUUUACACGCAAAAAAAAAAAAAUUCUCGUGAUUGGCAUAAAUAUCCGCAGUUUAUUUACAAUAACAUUAUUCGAUUGCAAUCCACGCGUUCCUGCUCGCUGGAAGAUUUGAUUUCAACCCACGUAUUAUUAAACGUUUAUUCUUCGUUGUUGUUAAACAUAAACAACGCUAACUAUAGAAAGAGCGAAUGAAAUUAAAAGUUGAAGACAUAAUUUUCAAGAACGUCAGAGGAAAUUAAUUACAUAACGUCCAAGGAUAACUUGCUUAUACAUAUAACAACAGUUCACUGAUUUUCUUGACUAAGUCUCAUUUUUCGCUUAAACAAUAGUCGUUCACGUCAAGUGGCGAAUAAAAGAAAGUUCAGAGGACAUAAUUUUACAAAACGAGAAGAAAGAGGAAAAGAAAAAGAAAAAUGAGAAAUGAGGAUGUCGUACAUGUAUCUAACAUGUAAAUGAUUUUUAUCGAUACGAUGAUAAAUACUUGGUACAAAAGUUACAAAUACUCAA